rnacentral:lncRNA from 1 species
CAGAACCGAGGAGACCACUGGAGCCAGAGGGACCCCGCCUCGUCAACAGCGAGAGCGUAAUGUUGUUGGCGGAGAUGAAGGAAGUGAAAGACGAGCUGCUGAUGCUGAGUGCGGAGAUCACAACCCUGAGGGAGGCUAUGGAAGCUGGCUUCAAAGCAAUCAUAGACCGGCUGAAUGCGGAGGCGAGAUCCUCCGACCAAAACGACUAAGUCUUUUUUCCCCUGAACUCGUAGAUUAGGUUUUAUUUUAUCUUUUGUUUUUUUCUUGUUUUAGCGUCUGUUUUGUCUGUGUUAGAGUCGAGUCUACUUGCAUCGUUUGAUGGUGAAAGAUUGUGCAUGCUGAAUUCUGUCUUGGUAUGAUUGGUGGAUUGAGUAUGAAAAUGCAUGAUGGUAGUUGUGAGGAUACUGAAAAUACCCACCGGUGAGAUCAGGGCCAAAUUGAAAAAUGCAUGCUUGUGGUGAGAAUUUGCUGUGACUAGGAAAUCUUGACUUUGUUUGAGGACUCAAUUUUGCUAGUACAUGACUUGUGUGAUUUGGGCACGAUUCUUUGACUUAGGGCCCCAGAUUAUUCUUUGAUGUGCAAUGUGAAAAAUAA